ensembl:lncRNA
GGAGAGCUGAAGGCAAGUGGGAGGUUGAGUGGAAAGAAGCUCACAAUGAAGAUGGGAGCACUGAUACUGUGCACGGGGAGCCAGAGAAAUUAACAUCUGUCUUCUCUACACCAGCAACAGUGGAACAGAUGCCUCUCGGCAAUGUUAAAGACGAAAACCCGUCUCAAUGCCAGCAACUAAUGGCAGGGCGUAGUUGUACCAAGGGGACAGAGACCUUUAGAGAUCCACUAAACUUUGAAACUUCACCCUUACCAUUAUCCCUUUCACCUUUGUCACUUCACUCUCCCUAUAAUGAUGGGCUGGCAGGAGUUAGUAAUGUCAGUGGGUGUAUUCAAGCAAAAGAGAUUGUAAGAGAGCAGGUGUCAGACAAUUUCGAUAGUCUUAAGCCUGGAGUUAGUAGAAGUGACAGUAAAGGAAGGAAUGACAUUUGCUUGAGUAACAAUUUGUUACAGAUUAAUAAAAGUCUGUCAAAACUCCAGGCUCUGAGCCAGUCCCAGGUAUGCGAGAAAAGUGUGCCCAAUAACACCAGUGUGCCCAAUAACGCCUUUCAGAUUCAGUCUCCUCCCAUUUCUCCCUUUUCCACAGAUUGUGGCUUUAGUAACUAUUCUGAAGAUGUGCUUGACUUUCCAUGUUUAAAUCUCGAAAGCUAUGAUCAGAUGCCUGCACAAAACAACUUGGCAAGCUCUUUAAUAGAUUACUAUCCUGGUGAACCACAUAACACCGGAUCCUUCAGCAGCCCCUUUUCCCAAAGUCCCACUGAUGCAUGGAAUCCGGAGACCCCUUACCUAGGAUCGCCAAGCCCAGCGAGUAACUUCAGUAGUGAUGAGGAGCUAAGUUUCCCGGAAAUUGUGUUUUCUCAGUCUGACACAUCCUCAUCUAUUGGUGCAUCUCAACUCAGUCUCUUCAAAGAUAAGCUUUGUAAUACAGCCACGAGUUCUGCUCCUCUUCAAGACCCUGAGAAAGAUCUGUACUUGUCUGAUGGCGAGUUGUCCAAAACUCCCAUAGAGCUCCAGGUCCAGGAAGAUUCAGCAACGCGGUUUCUCCCCAAAGACUUGACAAUGUUUAACAAUGCAUCUACAAGUGCUAAACAGUCUGGGCACUCAAAUUCACGCCUGCAUCCUCAGGAAAAAAAAAAGUUCAACUUUCUUGAUUCCAUUGUUAACUUGAAGUCCUCCGAGUCAGGCCUUGCUAAAAUUGACGUUAAAGACAAUGGACCUCUCAGCCUGCAUUGCUCGAAAGCUAAAUCCGAAUCUGUCUUUCCAAACCAGUUGACACAAAGUCUACAUGGUGCCGGACCUCAGAGUAACCUUGUUACACCCUUCCAUGCUGAUUAUCCAGGUGCAUUCAACUCUGGUAAUGCACUUUUUCGUAGCAAUGACAAGAAGCUUCCUUUUUUUUCAAACCCCAAGAAUGUCUUUAAAAACGAGGAAGGCCAGAAUGCUUGUCGAGUUUCUGUGGCUGCAGGCAGCUCAAAAUCUCACAACAAUCUGGAAAGCAUCUAUGCUUGUCCAGGUCCAUCAAGUUCUCACAGCGGAAAAGAGUCUUCUGCUAGAUCUCCUAAUGCUGGGUUCUCAAGAUUGGCUUCAAAUCUGCAAAAAAACCCAAAGAAUGUCCCUUCCAAACAGUACCCUGCUAAUCUUGGUCCACAAAGUGAUCGCAUUCACCCCGUUUACUUCAUCAGCUCUAGCAAAACCACAACAAACUUUUUCAAGAACAAUGCAGGCCUAAAGUCCCAGAUCUCAAGAAAUGAUAAAGAUCCAUCUCUGUCCUCCACGUUUUUAUUUCCCUCAUCUCAAGGCUCUCAAUGUUACAGUACCACACAAAGCAAACUUUCAAAAUUGGAGAAACCCCAUGCUGUUGUGGCUCCCA